rnacentral:rRNA from 1 species
CCUACGGUGGGCAGCAGUGGGGAAUAUUGGGCAAUGGGCACAAGCCUGACUCAGCAACGCCGCGUGAAGGAAGAAUGCUUUCGGGUUGUAAACUUCUUUUCUCAGGGACGAAGAAAGUGACGGUACCUGAGGAAUAAGCUACGGCUAACUACGUGCAAGCAGCCGCGGUAAUACGUAGGUGGCAAGCGUUAUCCGGAUUUAUUGGGGGUAAAGGUCGCGUAGGCGGGAGGGCAAGUCAGAUGUGAAAACUCAGGGCUCAACCCUGAGCCUGCAUUUGAAACUGUGUUUCUUGAGUGCUGGAGAGGCAAUCGGAAUUCCAGGUGUAGCGGUGAAAUGCGUAGAUAUACGGAGGAACACCAGUGGCGAAGGCGGAUUGCUGGACAGUAACUGACGCUGAGGAGCGAAAGCGUGGGGAGCAAACAGGAUUAGAUACCCUAGUAGUC